CUCCUACGGGAGGCAGCAGUGGGGAAUCUUCCGCAAUGGGCGCAAGCCUGACGGAGCAACGCCGCGUGAGUGAAGAAGGGUUUCGACUCGUAAAGCUCUGUUGUCGGGGACGAAUGUGGAGAUGGUGAAUAACCAUUUUCAAUGACGGUACCUGAGAGGAAGCCACGGCUAACUACGUGC
rnacentral:rRNA from 1 species